UGUGUAUUUUGAAGAAGAUAUAUUGUCAACCUUGAAAAUAAGUUGUCUAGAAGUCGAAGAAUAUGUUGUUGUUGUGGCAUCAAUGGAGCUGCUCUCCGGUGUUAUGACAAGAGUUGUGGCAAGAGCUUUCAUGUUCCUUGUGCUAGGUUGACUCCAUAAUGCCUGUGGGAUUAUGAAAACUUUGUUAUGCUAUGUCCGAUUCAUAAAGCAUCUCAACUGCCAAAUGAUACGCCUCAAUUUGAAUCAAGGAAGAAUAGUAAAUCUUCUGCUGAAAGAAAAUCUUAUAUCCAUCAAGAUAAAGUGAAAACCAUUAUAUCUAAUAACUUGACAGGUAGCAUACCUGAGGAAUUUGGGAACCCUUGCUUCCCCGACAAAUCUAAUCCUUUCUACUAAUCAGUUGACU